rnacentral:rRNA from 1 species
AUGCAUGUUGGUACGAUUAUGGAAUCAAAUGAUGCAACUUUCUUUGAGGACAUAUUUCCUAUGAAGGAUAUGUCAAGUUCAUCAAAUCAGGAGAUACCUACUCCAUCUAGUGAGGAAUUCACUGUAAUUCCUGAACCCACCAUUGUGAUGGAACACAUUGAGAAUCCUGUUGAGGGUAACAAUGGAACUCCUGUGAGGAGUAAGAGACAGAGGACUGCAAAGUCUUUUGGUGAUGAUUUCAUUGUGUACCUCGUGGAUGACACACCCAGGACAAUUUCAGAAGCAUAUGCGUCUCCUGAUGCUGACUACUGGAAGGAAGCUGUACGUAGUGAGAUGGAUUCCAUCUUAGCUAACGGUACCUGGGAGAUCACUGACCGUCCAUAUGGGUGCAAACCUGUAGGAUGUAAGUGGGUGUUCAAGAAGAAGCUUAGACCUGAUGGUACGAUUGAAAAGUACAAGGCACGGCUUGUGGCCAAGGGUCAUACCCAGAAAGAAGGUGAAGACUUCUUUGAUACUUACUCACCCGUGGCUAGACUGACCACAAUUCGGGUGCUACUAUCACUGGCUGCCUCACAUGGUCUUCUCGUUCAUCAAAUGGACGUUAAGACGGCUUUCCUUAAUGGAGAGUUGAAGGAGGAAAUUUACAUGGAUCAGCCAGAUGGUUUUGUAGUACCUGGUCAGGAAGGAAAGGUGUGCAAGUUAUUAAAGUCUUUAUAUGGCCUUAAACAAGCUCCUAAGGAGUGGCAUGAGAAGUUCGAAAGAACAUUAACUGCUGCCGGCUUUGUAGUAAAUGAUGGUGACAAGUGCGUGUGCUAUCACUAUGGUGGGGGCGAAGGAGUUAUUCUUUGUCUGUAUGUCGAUGACAUAUUGAUCUUUGGAACCAAACUUGAUUUAAUCAAGGAGGUUAAGGAUUUCUUAUCUCGCUGUUUUGAGAUGAAGGAUCUAGGAGUAGCUGAUGUUAUCUUAAACAUCAAGCUGUUGAGAGAUGAGAAUGGUGGGAUCACACUGCUUCAGUCUCAUUAUGUGGAAAAGGUCUUGAGUCGUUUUGGGUACAGCGACUGCACGCCUUCUCCAACUCCAUAUGAUGCUAGUGUGUUGCUUCGAAAGAACCGACGGAUUGCUAGAGAUCAACUGAGGUAUUCUCAGAUUAUUGGCUCACUUAUGUAUUUGGCGAGUGCCACGAGGCCUGACAUCUCUUUUGCUGUGAGCAAGCUGAGUCGGUUUGUGUCAAAACCGGGAGAUGAUCAUUGGCAUGUGCUUGAGAGAGUUAUGCGCUAUUUGGAAGGCACCGCGAGCUAUGGGAUUCACUACACCGGGUAUCCAAGGGUACUGGAGGGUUAUAGUGACUCAAACUGGAUAUCUGAUGCUGAUGAGAUUAAGGCCACAAGUGGUUAUGUUUUUACACUUGGUGGUGGCGCUGUUUCCUGGAAGCAUGUGAAGAGGAGACUAAAAUCUGUCAGAAAAUUGAGGAACUCCGGAGUUAUUACGUUGGAUUAUAUCCAAACGUCGAAAAACUUGGCAGGUCCCUUCACAAAGGGUCUAUCACGUAAUGUGAUAGAUAAUGCAUCGAUGGAGAUGGGUUUGAGACCCACCGCAUGA